CUCUCGACAACGGAUAUCUCGGCUCUCGCAUCSAUGAAKAACGUAGCGAAAUGCRAUACUUGGUGUGAAUUGCASAAUCCCGUGAACCAUCGAGUCUUUGAACGCRAGUUGCGCCCGAAGCCACUUGGCUGARGGCACGCCUGCCUGGGUGUCACGCAUCGU
rnacentral:rRNA from 1 species